AUGCUGCAAAUGGAUAUUGAAGGCAGCAACUAUUCUCCAUAGGAUUAGCAACUAUUUUCCGUAAGGCAGCAUUCAUUUGUAAGGUGAUAAAUAUUAAGGGUCGGAUCCAUGAACCACUAAAAGAGGUGAAAUCCAAAUCUUAUUCAAAGUGAUGAAUAUAUUGGAAUGGAAAGUGAGGGCAGCAGCAACUUGUACGAAUUGCAAUGGAAUAUUUCCAUUGCUGGAGGAAAUUAACAUGACCGGAUAUCCUUAGCGGCAACACUGGUCAAUUUGUUACGCAUUUAGCUCACCGUUUUAAUCUCGUCACUCCGUUUAUCACGUUGUAGGAUCCGGACUUUCUUUGAAGUGAAGUAAGGUGGAAGAAGAUUAAAUCUUGGCAUAUAAGGCUAAAAGAACGACGGGGCGAAAGGAUUCACGAAUAGUCGCUAACAGGUACAGAUAGUCGGUUUGGUGACCCUUAAGCGUAGGAUUUCUAUUCAGCUGUCUUGGAGAGCUCCGUUGUUCCGGAGUCUGGACUUUUGGUUCGGAUCUUAUGAUGUAUAUGUAUAUGUUUAUCCAGGGGUACGGCGGGGCCCUAUCCCGUCAUAUUUCGCUAUUCGUACUCUUAGAGGUCUGUAGACAUAUGUGUGGGUUGUGUAUAGGUUCUGUUCAGCUGUGUCUAUACGCUGUGCUGUGGUAUGAUGUUCGUCUAUAGUGGCAGCCUUGUCGGCUUGCAUAUGAUAUUGAUAUGUGAUGGCAGCCUUGUCGGCUUGCGUAUUAUUUCAUGAUAUGAUCAGUUGUGACUCCUCAGGAGACAGUGUAUCUGAAUAUACAUAUAUGAUGACGCUAUGAACCUUCAGAGUCCUUUUGUAAAGUUUCAUAUUGUUCGUAGUUUCAGUUUGACUAUAUCUGAUAGGUAUGUAUGCGGGUGUCCAGGUCGAGCACCAGUCACGGCCUAUGGGUUGGGUCGUGACAAAAGUGUUAUCAGAGCAGUUCGUCCUUGGAGUGUCUACAGACCGUGUCUAGUAGAGUCUUGUUUAUCUUUGUGUUGUGCACCACAUCUAUAAACAGGAAGCUACAGGGUAUUUAGGAUGUUACCUUUCUUUCAUAUCUAAGAUCGUGCGAUAGAGCCCAGUCAUAGGAAAUGAAAUUUCUUAUACUAACCUUUGAUUUCAGCUGAAGAACGACAUCGACAGAAGAAGCGACCGAUGAUAUUGGAAGCUACACAGUACAUAGGUAAGAAAUGGUGCGAAAGAGGCAUGUUGGAUAAGGUAAGAAUAUAGAAACAUGAUUGAAAUGUAAGUUGGAGGAUGAAAGAAAAGGUGGAUAGAAAAGUACAACAGAACAGAUUGUUAAAGGAUCAGGUACGCCUCGAGGUGCGAUAUGUGAGGUAAGUCCCGACACCUUUAUACUUUUUCUGGAAACUGGGAAGCCCUGUGUGGCUAUAAUACGAUAUGAUACAUAUGUAUAUAUGUUGGCCCUGUGAGGCAUUGUUGGUAUUUCCUGCGUGCAAGUUCUGGGAUAGUAAGAAAUACAGAGGAAACUCUGCCAAAAUUUUCUUAGAAAUAAAAAGGGAAUGAGAUAUAAGUUCGUAAUAUGUCUUGGAAGGUCGUGUCAACAGUGAUAAUAGGAUUUGACCAAGUUGCAAGUCUGAUUUCGAGAAAUAAAGUUAAUGGUUGAAUUGAUAGUAAUAGUAAUUAUGAGGUCGAUAUCGAUAUGGUAAAAUUAUCAUGUUGUAUUAAAGUUUUAAGAGAUACCCUCCAUGUCAUUCCUAAGAGACAUCACUCUUAUUCGGGAAACUUGAUUUCGAAGAAGUAUAUAUGAGCAGCAAAGUUUGGGAUUCAUUCGAACGGACUAGAAUACUUUCCAGACACAUUUUACCUUAGAAGAGGCUCAUGUUGAAGAGUAACUAAGUUUCAUUUUUAUUUGAAAAGUACAAAGCAUACAACAAGUAGUUUAUGAACUAAAUAGUUCGUUCAUGACCCAAGAAUAAAUUUGAAGGUAAACUAUGUAAAUCAAGCAUUAGGAGUCUCGUGGUGCUUGUCGGAUUCUAGUUCUUCUUGUGGUGGUUUUGGGGGAUGCCUCAUAGUGACGUGAUCUUGGAGUUGGAGCAUUCUUGUAUUCUUGAGGUAACAUUUCAUUAUAUCUUUAUAUCCUUGAGUUUAUUAGUUCUUAAUCAACUAAUUGGCGAUAGAAUUUGUAGAAGGAAAACUUAAACUUGUGGGCUGUCUUAGGUCAUGUGUUUCAUGUGUUGUCGAUGGAAUGCUUGGAUAAUUUGGAAGGGCUUGAGAUACUAAGAGAUGAUUUAGAAAAGGGCUGGCAAAUCUUAGUAGGGUGUUAUAUUGAGGUAUCAACUGAAUUGAUCAGUAGGGAUAAAUUACGACGAGUUAUAGUUAAAAGGAAUAAUAGUAUGAUUGAGACAGGAGUACGGAGGAAGAAUCGUGACGAAUACGAAUGUAUUGAUAAGACAGUUGGUGAGGUAUUAAGGAUAAGAUUGACCAGAAAGGGCAAAAGGUUAAGAAGUGUCACGCUAUAGGAUUGAUUACGAACAGGGUAUUACGUGAAUAUAAUAAGGAUUGUUAUAAAAAUGAGUAAAGCCUAGUGAGGAAGUGGCUAAAAGAUAUGACGUGAUCUAUGCCACUAAAGUGUAAAGGCAAAUGUGAAAUCGGCAAGGUAUGGAACGAAUGAGAAGGACUUAUAAGGUCCUAUAGGCAAAGUUCAGAAUAGAGAUUGUGUGAUAAUGAAAAUGAAAGUGAGCACAAGAAAAGAAGGAGUUAAUUGAAGAAAGGAAACAAGAGCAAAGCGAGCGGAAUAACAGUCUAGUAAUAGGUUAUGACAUGUGUAGUCAAGAAAAUGAGUAAUAUAAGUGACGGAAUUGUGAAAGACUAAACUAUAGAAAGAUGAGCAAUGAGACAGAAUGAGUGCCAGAGAUGACUGGGAUGAUAAGAAUAAAUAAGGAUGAACAGAAUACGUUUGGAGAAUGAGAAAGGAAUUAUGCUGAAGUAGUGUUUUCCGAAGGAUACAGAGAUAGCAUGAGAUUCCUCAUGCACAGAAUAAAGGAUGUACAUAGAUUGGAGAAAUGGUAAGGGAAUACUAAAGGAAGCACCCAAGAUAGACGUAAUUUAUUGAAUAUAGGUAUAGGACGAAAGGGAAAUAUAUAGCUACGAGCUUAAAGGUAUAGUAUAACGAUGAGGUUAUAAGAUAAGAUUGUCAUUUAGAUGAACCCGAUAUGAAUUUGAGUAAAUUAGAAGUCGGUACCGGGUACACAACAAGGGCAAGAGAGGCACAACAUGAUAGACGAGUACUAUUUAGAAUUGAUACGUUACAAGGUUAUCAUAACCAGUUUAUUUAUACAGGACUAGUUCAACAUUCGAGGACGAAUGUUCUAAAGGGGGGAAGGAUGUUACAUCCCGUGUUUUCAUGCGUUGGAAAGCGUACAAGUCAAAUGACAUUAGUAACUAAACGAGGUUAUCCCCUAAGCUUAUAGGUGGUUAAAGUGAUGGUACAGAUGAAACGUAAGGAUUAGAAGUUAAACAAACCGAAGAAAAUAAGAUUCGUCGAGGUCCGAAAUUUAUUUGAAUGGAAUACGGUCCAAGCUCUAAUAUCCCGUAUAAUGGACCAGGAAAUUUGACCGUCCAACAUGAGCAAAAUUUACUCGAGCCCGGAGAAUUCGAUCAUAUCCAAGGAUGAAAAUCAAGAGCUCGGUGUAUACAAGGAAUGAAGUCCAAAAAUGAUUUAAGACGAAAAAGUGUGACGACGAUGAUUGAAAAUAAUAUUUUAUGUGUGGCAAAUGAGGCUAUGGACUAUGUUAUACUACAUGAUUAUGAUAAUGAGCAUAUGAAGUGUAUCAAAAAUGAUUUAUUUAAUUAAAUUGAGGUCAAGAAAUUAAUUAUGUGUGUAAUGGGGAAUUGUAUUGGAAAAACAAGAAAUUAAUUAUACUAUUGGAUAGCUAUUAGUGGACAUGGUCCACGUGUUUUAUUUAAAUGGGCUGUAAGCCUACAAGGACGUACAUGCACAUUUGUUCCUUUGUCAAUUAGUGAUGACUAAUUAAAAAAUGGGCCAGCCAAGAGGACACGUGCAAAGGGCAAAACAAUGCACUAAAGUCUCCUAUCUUUUAUAUUGAACUUUUCAUUUCUAGAAUACAUAUUCACAUGCUGCAAAUGGAUAUUGAAGGCAGCAACUAUUCUCCAUAGGAGUAGCAACUAUUUUCCAUAAGGCAGCAUUCAUUUGUAAGGUGAUAAAAAUUAAGGGUCGGAUCCAUGGACCACUAAAAGAGGUGAAAUCCAAAUCUUAUUCAAAGUGAUGAAUAUAUUGGAAUGGAAAGUGAGGGCAGCAGCAACUUGUACGAAUUGCAAUGGAAUAUUUCCAUUGCUGGAGGAAAUUAACAUGACCGGAUAUCCUUAGCGGCAACACUGGUCAAUUUGUUACGCAUUUAGCUAACUGUUUUAAUCUCGUCAUUCCGUUUAUCGCGUUGUAGGAUCCGGGCUUUCUUUGAAGUGAAGUAAGGUGGAAGAAGAUUAAAUCUUGGCAUAUAAGGCUAAAAGAACGACGAAGCGAAAGGAUUCAAGAAUAGUCGCUAACAGGUACAGAUAGUCGGUUUGGUGACCCUUCAGCGUAGGAUUUCUAUUCAGCUGUCUUGGAGAGCUCCGUUGUUCCGAAGUCUGGACUUUUGGUUCGGAUCCUAUGAUGUAUAUGUAUAUGUUUAUCCAGGGGUACGGCGGGGCCCUGUCCCGUCAUAUUUCGCUAUUCGUACUCUUAGAGGUCUGUAGACAUAUGUGUGGGUUGUGUAUGGGUUCUGUUCAGGUGUGUCUAUACGAUGUGCUGUGGUAUGAUGUUCUUCUAUAGUGGCAGCCUUGUUGCCUUGCAUAUGAUAUUGAUAUGUGAUGGCAGCCUUGUCGGCUUGCGUAUUAUUUCAUGAUAUGAUCAGUUGUAACUGCUCAGGAGACAGUGUAUCUGAAUAUACAUAUAUGAUGACGCUAUGAACCUUCAGUGUCCUUU